GGGGAUGUAGCUUAAAUGGUAGAGCGCCCGCUUUGCAUGCGGGACGCACGGGGUUCGAUCCCCCGCAUCUCCA
rnacentral:tRNA from 1 species